CAGGAGUACGUCAACGUCUGGCAGGACCGCGACGAGUCCACCAACUUUUUCCAGAAAUACGACCCCGAGCUGGUGAAGGAGGC
rnacentral:rRNA from 1 species